rnacentral:lncRNA from 1 species
GUCCCUAGCAGGGGUAUGCCUCAGCUCCAUCAGGACCCUGGGGCAGGAGAGUCGGGAGGGGAGUGGAGUUGUGAGUAGGCUGUCUGAAGGUGUUGUCCCCUCUGUCUUCUGUUGCUUGUGUUUGGGCUUUUGUAGGUUUCCUUUCCUUGGAAGGGUGGAGCUCGUCCCUGUGUGUGGGCUGCUAUUGGUUCCUUUCCUUGGAAGGUUGGAGCCCUGCCCUGAGUCUGGGCUGUUGUAAGUUUCAUUUCCUUGGGAGGGAGGAGCUCUGCCCUGAGUCUUGGUCUGUGCAAAUCAAACACUCCCUUGAUCCGGGACGCUGUCCUGGCUCCCAGUUCUUUCCUCCACUAUCUCAGACUUUGUGCCUUCAUCAGGCAAUCCAGACAUCUGGUCUUUCUUCAGACUCAACUCUGAAAAGGCUUCCAGCUGUCUCCGAAUUUCCUGGAUGAAUUCUCCUCGGCGCCGAAGCUGAUCCUCAAAACUUGUGAGCUUGGUGAGGAAGACGACGAGGUCAGCAUCUGAUCGGCCCCUGAGGGUCGUGCCUUUGCCCGAGGAGCCACCCUAAGGCAGGUGAUGAGAAAGAGAACAGACAUUGAUUGUUGAGCAGAGCCUCCCUGAGCAAAAUGCUGAGCACAGUCGCUAAGAGUCUGGAGUGCUCGCCCCUGUCCUGAAGGCCUUCCCAGUCUCAACUCCUCGAAUGUGCACAAGGACCCUGGGACGCCGCUGCUCCUAAUAGCUGCUCCCAUAUCCAGAGAAGGAAACAGACGCUGAGAGAGAUGAUGUGUCAGCCCCCUCACACAGCUAGUAGGGGGCAGAGAUGCGGUUCACAGCCUGGUUGCCUUUUCCCAGGGCCUGUGUUCUGUCCUCCCUGUCUCUUUUGAUCCCAUAUCACGAGUGGGUAUGCACACUGACUGGCCCAUGCAGGGUGGGUGACACGCCUUAUUUCACUUGAUCUGCGAGCCCUAGAAGGUACUGGGACUUAUGGGUGAGGAAACUGGGACACAGGGAGGGUAAGUAAGUGAGUUGCCAGGAUUUCACAGCCGGUAGGGGCUGUCUGCCUUCCCAGCUUACGCUCCUCACCAGCUCAGGGCUGUGCAGAAAUGGUGAUUCCCAGCCCGGUCACUGG